rnacentral:rRNA from 1 species
UACGUAGGGUGCGAGUGUUGUCCGGAAUUAUUGGGCGUAAAGAGCUCGUAGGCGGUGUGUUACGUCGGCCGUGAAAACCUGCAGCUUAACUGUGGGCGUGCGGUCGAUACGGGCAUCACUGGAGUUCGGCAGGGGAGACUGGAAUUCCUGGUGUAGCGGUGAAAUGCGCAGAUAUCAGGAGGAACACCGAUUGCGAAGGCAGCUCGCUGGGACGUAACUGACGCUGAGACGCGAAAGCGUGGGGAGCAAACAGG